GAUGAACGCUGGCGGCGUGCCUAAUACAUGCAAGUCGAACGAACAGACCAGGCUCUUGCUCGUCUGACGUUAGCAGCCGACGGGUGAGUCACAUGUGUAUAACCUACCUAUCAUACUGGGAUAACUUCGGGAAACCGGAUCUAAUACCGUAUAAUAUAUUGAACCACGUUGGUCAAUAGUUAGAUACGGUUUUUCUGUCACUUAUAGAUGGAUCCGCGCCGCAUUAGCUAGUUGUUAAGGUAACGGCUUACCAAGGCGACUAGGGGUAGCCGACCUAAGAGGGUGAUCGGCCACCUGGGAAGUGAGACAGGGUCCAGACGCCUACGGUAGGCAGCAGUCGGGAAUCUUACGCAAUGGAGGAAAGCCUGACGGAGCAACGCGGCGUGAGUGAUGAAGGUGCUAGGAUCGGAAAGCUCUGAUAUCAGUGGAGAACAAAUGUGUAAUUAACCAUGAAGGUAGUGACGGUACCGGGUAAAAAAGCCCCGGCUAACUACGUG
rnacentral:rRNA from 1 species